rnacentral:rRNA from 1 species
CCUACGGGUGGCUGCAGUGAGGAAUAUUGGUCAAUGGACGAGAGCCUGAACCAGCCAAGUCGCGUGAGGGAUGACUGCCCUAUGGGUUGUAAACCUCUUUUAUCUGGGAAUAAAACGUUCCACGUGUGGGGUUUUGUGUGUACCCUAUGAAUAAGCAUCGGCUAACUCCGUGCCAGCAGCCGCGGUAAUACGGAGGAUCCGAGCGUUAUCCGGAUUUAUUGGGUUUAAAGGGUGCGUAGGUGGGUCGUUAAGUCAGUGGUGAAAGUUGGGGGCUCAACCGUAGAAUUGCAGUUGAAACUGGCAGUCUUGAGUAGGGGAGAGGUAGGCGGAAUGCGUGGUGUAGCGGUGAAAUGCUUAGAUAUCACGAAGAACUCCGAUUGCGAAGGCAGUUCACUGGAGUGCAACUGACGCUGAGGCACGAAAGUGUGGGGAUCGAACAGGAUUAGAUACCCGUGUAGUC